CGGAUGUGAGCCACAUGACCUAGCCCUGUUGUAAGAGGGAGCUGCUCGUUGAUCAAAGUUCAAAUCACACGUCUCUCACUCUCUGCAGAUUACUCCGGGGGCUAGUGUAGUGUGGAGGAGGACACACAUUUGAGAGGGGUUUGAGGGUACAGACUCACUAACUGGUGCGAUUAGGGCCGUGUAGUAUGUCCAGACUUGUCCAAGCCUGCACACACUGACAUGGGAAGAGAGAAAGGGAAAGAGGGUGACCCGUUGUUUGGAUUCCACAGCUCCCUGACUGCCACUGGACUCACAGAUGAGUCUCACAAAACCCAAGAACCAGAUGGAUGACGUGGAAAGGAUCAACAAGGAGACAGGGGAGCUGAGCACUUCGGGGGAACAUGCCGUCGCCCCGGACCUGAAUCUGAAUGAGGGGGUGGAAAUGGGGGAGAGAGGGGGACAACCCCAUGCCCAUACCUUACGGAUCCUCAGAGAGAUGCUCCAACAGCUGGAGAUACACACACAAGAUGGAAGUGAGGGAACCUCCAGACAGACGCAGACGCAUCUCUCCCCCAACCACACACACUCCCAGGAGAACACUGUGCACCAGGGCCAAAUACUUGCACCCCUCCCCCCUGACCAGAGAGAAGGACACUUAUUCCGAAUACUGCCAAUCUACAUACAGGUAUGUGAAAGUGCUGUUGGAACCGAGGAGCUGGAUCUGAAGAGUCUAGCUGCUCUGUCUGCAGAGACGGUGAUAUCCAAUAUCCAUGACAGGCUCGCCAAAAAACCUGCAGAGGAGGCUCGCUACGAUGUGCAGCAGUACUUCCAAGAAAGAGGACGGAUGGACAACACAGAAGACAAAAGUCAGGCAGACCACAAAGAGGCAGACAGGAGUGAGACAGGUGUCAGACAGACAGACAAGAGUGAGACAGAUGACAGACAGACAGAUAGGAGUGAGACAGACCACUGGACAACGCAAGCAGACAACAAAGGAUGGCUUCUGUUGAAGACUCUGUCUCUUCUGUUUGCGACAGAUACUAGGGACUCGAUGUUGGUUGUAAAGCCAGGUCUGCCGGCAGCUCUGGUGAAGUGUCUGUACCUGCUAGUUUGUCUACCGGCCAGGAAAGAGGAAACGGGAGGAGAGGAAUCAUUUGAAGAACUCCUCACACAGGUGAAUCUUCUUGUCUCUUUCCAUGGGAUACACAAAGUUAAAGAGUCAGGGUCGUUAAGAUUGGUAUUGCUGAUUUGA
rnacentral:lncRNA from 1 species